UAGAUAGAGGCGCGGCGCGCAAAAGUAGAUCCGGCGGCAACGGGAAUCGGGCCGGAUGGAAAGGGUUCGCCGCCGAGGUGCAUACGGCCCGCCCGGGGCGCGCAUGUGCCGGGCCGCAGGGAAAGACGCUGCGGACUGUCACGGAAUUGUGGAGCGCUAUCG
rnacentral:ncRNA from 1 species